AUAAAAUUUAGUAAACAUAUUAAUAUAAGGCUUCGUAUCGGAAAUUCUUGAACAUUUCGAUUAUCACAUUAUUUACGUAAAUUGGAAAUACAACGAUCUCUACCUCUUAUUUGUUUAGUUUAUGAUUGAUUUUUAUUUACUUCAAUUAUUAGAAAAACAAUCUAGUGUAAGAUUUAACACUAUGCCAAUUUAGAAGAUUACCUAAUUUUGUAGUUUACUAUCUCCCCUAGUGGUUGGUACUAACUACAAAACAUAAAUCAUUGUGUAUUAUGAUAACAAAUUGGCGAAAUUCUAUUGUACGAAAGUUUUUACAAACUGACUAGGUGACAAUCAAAGUAUGUUG